rfam:Nectria haematococca mpVI 77-13-4 chromosome 1 genomic scaffold NECHAsca_8_chr1_1_0, whole genome shotgun sequence.
UAACCCAUCACCCCAGGAGAAUCAUUUCUAUAGUAUUCGACCUUCUCUUGGUUCUCCAAAAGAGCCACAGAUCCCACCCUGGUUGAUGAGUGCAUAUCCUCGACACCCUAGAGUGAAUACCUUGGUCCUCUCGCUCUGUCCGCAAGGAUGGCGGUGGUUGCUAUGCAGCUACUGUAUAGAGAGUGUUUUUCUCUUGAUGAUCUCGAUCCCCUCUGCGGUCUUGCCUUCGGGCGCGCGGUCGGGAUGGGUGUUGAUGGACGUCUGACAGGC